CUAUUAAUGAGAAAAUUUUCUCUCUUAUCA
rnacentral:tRNA from 1 species